rnacentral:rRNA from 1 species
CCUACGGGCGGCAGCAGUGAGGAAUAUUGGUCAAUGGGCUUACGCCUGAACCAGCCAAGUCGCGUGAGGGAAGACUGCCCUAUGGGUUGUAAACCUCUUUUGUCAGGGAGCAAUUGGCGCUACGUGUAGCGUUAUCGAGAGUACCUGAAGAAAAAGCAUCGGCUAACUCCGUGCCAGCAGCCGCGGUAAUACGGAGGAUGCGAGCGUUAUCCGGAUUUAUUGGGUUUAAAGGGUGCGUAGGCGGAAUGCCAAGUCAGCGGUAAAAUCGCGGGGCUCAACCUCGCUCCGCCGUUGAAACUGGCGGUCUUGAGUGGGCGAGAAGUAUGCGGAAUGCGUGGUGUAGCGGUGAAAUGCAUAGAUAUCACGCAGAACUCCGAUUGCGAAGGCAGCAUACCGGCGCCCAACUGACGCUGAGGCACGAAAGCGUGGGUAUCGAACAGGAUUAGAUACCCCGGUAGUC